GAUGAAGAACGCAGUGAAAUGCGAUAGGUAAUGUGAAUUGCAGAAUUCAGUGAAUCAUCGAAUCUUUGAACGCACAUUGCGCCCUUUGGUAUUCCUUAGGGCAUGCCUGUUCGAGCGUCACUACACACCUUAUCACAAUAUUUGUGGUCUUGGCAGGAGUGAAUUGCUGGUCUAUGGAAGUAUUCCAGCAGUACACAAUGCUAAAAAAUAUGGGAAGGUUACCAGAUAUGAACAACAGACUUUGUAAAUGGUUGUAGGACCUAGAUCAGUCACAAGUCAUGUCUGGCCCCUUACCUUAAGGACCCCCAUCCUAGAUGAACUAUGGGUUGACCUCGGAUCAGGUAGGAAUACCCGCUGAACUUAAGCAUAUCAAUAAGCGGAGGA
rnacentral:misc_RNA from 1 species